ACCGAUAUGGUGUAAGGGUUUAGCAUGACGGAUUCUCACUCCGUCGAUCAGGGUUCGAAUCCCUGUAUCGGUG